rnacentral:rRNA from 1 species
CGGGACACGUGGUAUCCUGUCUGAAUAUGGGGGGACCAUCCUCCAAGGCUAAAUACUCCUGACUGACCGAUAGUGAACCAGUACCGUGAGGGAAAGGCGAAAAGAACCCCGGCGAGGGGAGUGAAAAAGAACCUGAAACCGUGUACGUACAAGCAGUGGGAGCACGCUUAGGCGUGUGACUGCGUACCUUUUGUAUAAUGGGUCAGCGACUUAUAUUCUGUAGCAAGGUUAACCGAAUAGGGGAGCCGAAGGGAAACCGAGUCUUAACUGGGCGUUAAGUUGCAGGGUAUAGACCCGAAACCCGGUGAUCUAGCCAUGGGCAGGUUGAAGGUUGGGUAACACUAACUGGAGGACCGAACCGACUAAUGUUGAAAAAUUAGCGGAUGACUUGUGGCUGGGGGUGAAAGGCCAAUCAAACCGGGAGAUAGCUGGUUCUCCCCGAAAGCUAUUUAGGUAGCGCCUCGUGAAUUCAUCUCCGGGGGUAGAGCACUGUUUCGGCAAGGGGGUCAUCCCGACUUACCAACCCGAUGCAAACUGCGAAUACCGGAGAAUGUUAUCACGGGAGACACACGGCGGGUGCUAACGUCCGUCGUGAAGAGGGAAACAACCCAGACCGCCAGCUAAGGUCCCAAAGUCAUGGUUAAGUGGGAAACGAUGUGGGAAGGCCCAGACAGCCAGGAUGUUGGCUUAGAAGCAGCCAUCAUUUAAAGAAAGCGUAAUAGCUCACUGGUCGAGUCGGCCUGCGCGGAAGAUGUAACGGGGCUAAACCAUGCACCGAAGCUGCGGCAGCGACGCUGAUGCGUUGUUGGGUAGGGGAGCGUUCUGUAAGCCUGUGAAGGUGUGCUGUGAGGCAUGCUGGAGGUAUCAGAAGUGCGAAUGCUGACAUAAGUAACGAUAAAGCGGGUGAAAAGCCCGCUCGCCGGAAGACCAAGGGUUCCUGUCCAACGUUAAUCGGGGCAGGGUGAGUCGACCCCUAAGGCGAGGCCGAAAGGCGUAGUCGAUGGGAAACAGGUUAAUAUUCCUGUACUUGGUGUUACUGCGAAGGGGGGACGGAGAAGGCUAUGUUGGCCGGGCGACGGUUGUCCCGGUUUAAGCGUGUAGGCUGGUUUUCCAGGCAAAUCCGGAAAAUCAAGGCUGAGGCGUGAUGACGAGGCACUACGGUGCUGAAGCAACAAAUGCCCUGCUUCCAGGAAAAGCCUCUAAGCAUCAGGUAACAUCAAAUCGUACCCCAAACCGACACAGGUGGUCAGGUAGAGAAUACCAAGGCGCUUGAGAGAACUCGGGUGAAGGAACUAGGCAAAAUGGUGCCGUAACUUCGGGAGAAGGCACGCUGAUAUGUAGGUGAAGCGACUUGCUCGUGGAGCUGAAAUCAGUCGAAGA